UCUUCUUUUCCCUUCCCUUCCCUCUCCUCCCAUUCUCUUCUCUUACGUUUUCUAGAGGACACGAGAAAGAGAGAGAGAGACAGACGGACAGAGAAAGAGAGAGAGAGAAAACGGUAAAAAGGAUGGGUUAGAAAGCAUAAGCUCGUACGAGAAGAAAGAUGAAAGGAAAAGAAGAAAGAAAAAAGCAAGAAAGAGAGAGAGAGAGAGAGAGAGAGAGAGAGUGAGUGAGUGAGUGACCGUUAGGGAAAAAAGGACUAUAAUAAUAGAAAGAAGACGUAGAGAGUAGGACGUGUUCAAAGAUGGCGCGUAGAGGGCACGCGCGUCGCAAUAGAAUGAUGAUGAAGAGAAGUGGUAGUGGCGCGGUAGUGGGGUAGUGUCGGUGGCAAUGAUGAUGGUGAUGCUGGAGUGGGGAGGAUAGAAGCUGACCCCCCACCAAGUAGCACACGGCAGUGCUUGAAGCCGGGCGAAGGCGAACGAGCGAGUUAGUUGCGCGCCGAACCUCCUCCGUAUAACUUCGUCGUAUUUCGUGUUUUCUCGGAAAUUAUUUCUAUCUCUCUCUCUCUCUAUCUAUAUCUAUCUCUAUAUAUAUAUAUAUAUAUAUAUAUAUAUAUAUCUCUAUCCAUCAUCUCUUUCUCUCUUUUUUGUAUGUUCUAUGAUACUUUCGAUCGCGUCCGGUAUAUCUUCAAGAUAUUAAAAUUCCGCUCUCUUUCUGUGCGUUUUUGUUCCUCUUGUGCGAUCGACCGUAACAAAAAGAAAUCUUCGAGAAAAUAAUAUUUUUACCUUAGCAGAAAACAAGUAAGCACCAGAAGCAGCUUUCUCUGUAUUUCUAUUAUUCCCGUUGGAAAUAAUAGGCGCGAUUUUUUUUUUCUUUUCUCUCUUUAUUUUCUUUUUUUUUUUCUUGUUUCUUUUUGUUUCUUUUUUUUUUCUUUUUUGUUUUAUUUCGCGUGUGUUAUAUGUGUAUGUACCUGCGUGUGCUUACGUAAUCCUCCCGAUAAGACUAUCUCUACAUCGAAUUAUAGACGCUUUCCUCGGUUACAAUCGAUUAAUCGAUUUUGUUCGGUAAGAGUUAAAAAGAGUCACGAUCAUUUUCGCGGGCUUUUUCUUUUUUUCUUCUUUCCCUUUCUCUCUCUCUCUCUCUCUCUCUCUCUCUCUCUCUCUCUUCAUAUUACGUUGUGUAAUCAUUGGCGAAAGAAGAGACAACAAAAGAGAGAAAGAGAGAGAGAGAGAGAGAGUUUUAUCGUGACUACAAUUUUUAUUCCGUAUAAUAUUGUAGCUUAGUUAUGCAAAAUUGGUUGAAAGAAUUAGAAAAAGAGAGAGAGAGAGAGAGAGAGAGAGAGAGAGAGAGAGAGAGAGAGAAAUAUGGUCGUCAUUGGUACAUCUUGUCGCGUAUUUUCGGCGACUGAGAUCGAUCGACGCCGGCUUUUCUCUUUUCUCUUUCUUUCUCUCUUAUUUCCUUCAUCUCUUAUUCUCUAUUUUCUUUCUCCAUCUACUUUUGUAUUCGCGCGCGCACUCGCCAUGUGACUGAAAAGUUUCUUCCCCCCUCACCCCUCUAAGGGAGAUCUGAAAAUGUCUCUCUUCAAUUCCCAUUUUCUCUCUCUCUCUCUCUCUCUCUCUCUCUCUCUCUCUCUUUCUCAAACACACUCUUUCAACCGUCUUCUUUCUUCUUCGAGCUUCGCGAAUUUGGAUUACUGGCGCAGGGAGAAUAAAUUUGCAUAAUUAUUCCGUUCGCUAUUGGACGGAUGGACGUUUCUCCUCCUCUUUCUUCUCCUUUUUCUGUUCGUCGUCAACUUAGUCGUCGUCAGAUUUUUCUUACAAAUGUGUACCUGGAGUAUAUAUAUAUAUAUAUAUAUGUAUAUUUAUAUAUAUAUAUUUUCUGUUAGUUGGUAACCUGUGUAAUAUUUUCUUCGUGUAGAACGAGAUUGGAACAUAUCACUUUCAGUGUUGAGAUUUCUUACCGCGCGAACCCGAUAAAAGAUAUACUUACACAGAUACAUAUCUAGAUAUAUAUUUUUGAAGGAUCGGAAAGUGUGAAAAAAAGAAGAAGGGAAGAAAGAAAGAAAAGAACGGAAAAGAAGAAGAAGAAUACACGGUGAGACACGAAACGAGUGAGAGAAAAAAAAAUCAUUUUUGUCGACAAACUAACGAAGCUCUCUUCUUACAGAAUAAGCACGUUUCUCUUUUCCUCCCUUUCUCUCUCUCUCUCUCUCUCUCUCUCUCUGUCUCUCUCUAUGUCUCUCUAUUUGUCUCUGUCUCGCUUUCAUGGAAGAGAGCUUUUUCUAACAAGAAAGUCGACAGAGCGCGAGAGUAUAGUAACAGCAGCCGCAGCACAGCAGCAGGCAGCACGUCUUCGUCUCCUCAUCGGCGUUUGUGUUUCGGCUCGAAUGUAAAAAUAAAAGGAAGAGAAACGAACCGCGGCGUCUCAAGGCUAACGCCUCGCGUAUUUGCUUCCUCCAUCUCUCUCUUGUUCGUUCGUUCGUUCGUUCGUUCGCUCUAUUCGGUAUCGCUGUUCUUUUAUCCGGUCUCGUGCCACCAUUCUCGGUACCACUCGAGUGUAUACGAAUUGAUACGAAUAUUUCUCGUACACCCUAUAUAUAUAUAUAUAUAUAUAUAUAUAUAGUAAUUCUUGAAGAAGUUGAAAGUUUUAUGUGGUGUAAAAGGUAUAUGUAUCUCAUACUUAACCUCGGCCUCUUUAUGAGACAUUUUUUUUUAUAUCAUUGCAUUAUAUUAGACGGGUAUUAUCGGUAAAAGAAAAAGAAAAAAAAAAAAAAGAAAACGAAGUUUUUAAUCUCGCGCAUGGUUUCUUUCACUUCUUUUUUGUUUCUUUCUUUUUUUUUUUUUGGAGGUUAUAUUUUUCCUUCUUUCUUUUUUUUUUAUUUUUUUUUUUUUUUUGUAAUUAAGAGCGAUAACCAUUUCGAAAUUAGAUAAAAUUUAGUCCAGUUUUCGACAGACAAUAAAUGAAAUACGGAUAGAGAGGAUAUUAUUAUUCAAGGAAAAACAUGAACUUUGUAUUGUUCGAUCAAUUCCGAUAGUGUAGUUUGCUGUGCAGUGUAGAGAAUAUUCAUUCGAACCGAUCGAAAAUAGUAAAAAGGAAUGGAAACGUGUCUGUGUGUGUGUGUGUGUGGAGUAAAAAAGAGAAGACCGGACGGACAUAUAGAUAGGUGUAGAUAGAUGGAUUUAUGUGUAGAUCGAUAAAAAGAAAAAAAAGAAGAGAAGGUGCGCUGGGUGGUCUCUCUUUCUCACUCACCUUUCAGGAGCUGUUUUCUCGAGACGAGAAGAAUUUCAUGGUGCGAAUCGCGAAGCAGGACGAGAACGGUGCGGUUGAAAGAAGGAGAAGAGUGUAGAGAGAGAGAAGCGGUGAGAAAGAGCGAGGAGACGGUAGUAGGAAAGGGGAGGGUGGGAGAGUAGAAGAGAUGGCAAAGAAGGAGGAGGAGGGGUGGUUUGAGACGCGGCUUUUCUCGACGUUGGGUAUAAAUAUAGUCGGUCGAUGGUGGUGGUUCUUCGUCUCCCUCGCCUAACGUUUCCUCGAUGUAUUGCCACGGAAAUUGGCUCUCUGUGGGAGCGAGAAAGAAAUAGAGAGAAAGAAGGAGAAACAUAGAGUGAGUGUGAGAGAAAGAGAGAGAAGAUAAGAAGGUUCGUAUCGCGGUGAUACACGAGCCACGAAACUCGUUCUUUUGAAUUAGGAAAACGCGUGAUUAUUUUUCUCUCUUUUACGAAGUAAGAGAAGGGAGGAGAAAAGAGAGAGAGAGAGAGAGAGAGAGAGAGAGAGAGAGAGAGAGAGGAGAGAGACACAAGCAGAAUGAAAAAUACGUUGGAAAUGAGAGAAAGACUGUGAAGGAAACAACAACAAGGAAAAAAAGGAUCACGUGAGUUAUUCGUGCGCGAGCCCCUCUCUCUCCCUCUCUCUCUCUCUUUCAAUGGUUUUACCUUUCAGUUGCAAAGCAAAAGAAUGCAUAAGAGUGUUGGUAAGGGUAGGAAAAGUAGAGAAAGAACGAUGGUGGUAGUGGAAGGGUUGGUAGGGCGGGUUGGUGGCAGCUUCUUGGCGGUUUCCGAGAAGGAGAUAAGCCGGUUACCGCCCCCGACGAACGUUUACGUCGGAAACAUCGUUAGAAGACGCGACGACACGACUACGUUCUCUCUCUCUCUCUCGAUGAGAGUCAACUUUUUCUGUUUUUCUUUCUUUCUUUUUUUUUCUUUCCUUCUUUUGCGUUUACUUAUUUAUUCUCUUCCUUUCUUUCUUUCUUUCUUUGUUUUUUUUUCUCUUUUUUUUCUCUUUUUUUUUCUUUUUUUUUUUCUUUUUCUCUCGAAGAACGCUUCGCACAUUUCUCGCCUCCAUUUCCUUUUUCCAAUACUUUACGUAGCUCGCACAAUAAUGAGAUCGAAUUAUUCAUCCGUAUAUACGCGUUUUACGCUCUAAUAUAUCUUCUAAAUAAUUAAAUAGACCAUUUCUAAAUUACUAUUACACGAUUUAUUAUUCUUUAGCAUAUUUCAAAGAGAGAGAGAGAGAGAGAGAGAGGAAGGAUAUAUACGUAUAUACAGAUUAGAAAAAAGUUAGAAUAUUAUUGGUUUUUGUAACCACGUUGCUUGGUUGGUAACAAACGAAUAUACGCUUACCGGAUAGAUAUGUAAUUGUUGGUCAUAAAUCGUAAUGGUUAUUGAUAUUCAUUUUUCUCUGUUUCAUUACUACUGUUAUUAUUAUUGUUACUAUUAUUAUUAUUAGGUCGUUUAGAUCGUUAAAUUUCAUCAUUUUGAAAAUGGAUUCUCUCUCUCUCUCUCUCUCUGUGUGCGCGAAACUUUUCUCGUUUUCUGAUCUCGAAUUCGACAUGACGAGAUGAGAGAUAGAGAGAGAAGAGAGAGAGAAAGAAAGAGAUAAAGAGAUACGUUUGACGAUUUCGUGCGUGUUUAUCGGCCGAUAGGAGGUUUGGUUUGACUCGUCUACAACGAGUUUUCCCUCUGUGUUAUUGCCACGAAGGGGAUCGAAGGGAGGGAGGGAGUAUCUCUUCGUAAAAAGCGAUGUUCUCUUGUCCGAAAGACCGUUAGGGAGAGAAAGAGAAAAAAUGAUACUAUACUGCACUCUUUGAGCUUUUCGAAUGAGCACUGGACUGUUUCGAAUAAUCGUUUGUACCGAUAUAUAUCCUAUCGUAUAACGACUAACGUUUGUAAUAUUCCCUUUGAAAAACGUUUUUCCUGAUCUUUUACCGGAUGAUUCGUAACUUUCUCUCUCUUUCUCUAUCCUCGAAACCGUUUCCCUUCCCCUGCUCCCUCCAUAGAUCAACAUGAUUUACAAUGUCUCGCAAAAACGAUCGCGUUUUGUCUCUCUGUAGAAUCGAACGAAUUUUCUCCUUUUCUCUCUUUCCGAAAUCUAUCGAAAAUAUCGUUUAAAAACAUUCGAUAUAUCUUGUACAGUAUGAGCCAAAAAUUUUCGAAGCUUUUGUUCCUUAAGUUCUUCGCCGAUAGUAAAAGAAAGAAAGAAAAGAAUAUUGGCCGAAAAAUAUUCUCGAAAAUCAAGAGGAAAUCGAUUUUCGAUAAGAACUUUUCUAUAUCUCUCGGUCCUUUUCAUUCUUUUAUUCUGUAAUUAAGAAAGAGAUUUUUCGCAAACGUUACGUACCUACUUAUACCUAUCGAGUUCGCCAUUUUAAGAUUUCGUACGGUUAUAAAAAAUAAGGUCAGUCGAUUUCAGUAUUUUUACAGGCAGAGAGAGAGAGAGAGAGAGAGAGAACCGUACGGAUCAUCGUUUUACUCGUGUACACUCAUUAUAGAUUUUCGACAAGAGAUAUUUCACGAGUGAAUGACGUCACGUUUCGAAUCACGUUUAUCGCUUUAAACCAGGGACAACAUUGCUUAUAAACUAGUACCGGUGGUGAUAGUGCUGGUAGUGGUGGUGGUCAGUGAUAGUGAUGGUAAUGGUGGUGUCCUUUACGAUAAGAUUCAUGCUGAAUAAUACCAUUUUACCGAUCUUUGUUUUUGAUAUUUCUACGAACAAUGGUGUGUACUCUCUUUGAUGUAUCUGUUACAGGUACUAUUAUUGGUAGUACUAUUACUAUUAGACGACAAUCAUUACUAAUAUUAUUAUUGCUACUGUUAAUUGUUGACUAGGUCGUAUUAAAUUUUCACGAGAUUCCUACAAGUUUCUUCUCAUUCGCUUUCUCGCUCUCUCUCUCACACACACAUACAUAUACACGCACGUUCAACUUGUGUGUGUAUAUAUAUUCCAGGGAUGUAAAAUUCGGGCACCUGCACCCGUUCUAUUUUCGUACGACUGACCCAUGGCGACCUAACUAUAUCGUUUUCAAAAGAGAGAGAGAGAGAGAGAGUGAGAGAAAUGUUACAUAGGUUAUGUACAUUGUUUGAUUGUAUGUUAAAGGGAGAAUUUCCUGAAAUUCGAAUACACGUUACGUACGUAAAUGUACGAUACGUCUGUUUGUUUACUGUUAUCGGCUAUGCGUCUUAUCUGUGUAUAAGAAAGACAUUGACAAUAUUUACAAAGUAACCGAUAAUACGAUGUCUCUUUCUCUCUCUCUCUCUCUCAGUUGGUCCCUUGUGCUUCGACAUGAGUCACGUUAAUAAUAUAUCGUUAAGGGAAGAUGAAGGAAAGAGAGAGAGAGAGAGAAAGGAAGAGAGAAAAUCACUUUGUUCCUCUUGAAAUUGUCCUUCGAAUGCAAAAAAUUUUUAAUAACAAGAUAGUAGUUUCCUCCCAUCUCCUAAGAAAGAGAGAGAGAGAGAGAGAGAGAGAGAGAGAGAGAGAGAAAGAAAGAAAAGAAAUUAAGAUCGUAUUCUUUGCAAAAAGAAAACAAAAGAAAAAUAAUAAUAAUUGAAUCCAUCAGAAUGUUGUACGAUAAUUAGAUUUUGUCGUUCUUUUUUUUUUUUUUUCUUUUUCUUCUUUUUUACAGGUUCCAACAAGAGGAUGAGACGAAUGGUGGAUGGAUGACACAAAUUCGUCGUGUCGUCGUCGAUGAGAGAGAAAGACUGACUCACACACGUGCAGCUUUGGUUCUUUCUGGUUUUUAUGUCUUGCGGUUGGUUUGGAAAAUAAAACGCGUGCCCAAAGC